GUAUGUUUGGGUGCAGUCAAAAGCCAACGACUCCGUUACUCCAAAUGGCGGCGCUCAUCGUUCCUGUAGCCGCGCCACUCCGCCGCCACUUUCACGUUUCCGCCGCUCUAUCAACGCCGCCUCGUAGCAACUCGCCGGCGGUGGACUGGGUGAAGGAGACUGCCAGCUUCUUCGAGCAGGAUUCCCGACCAAUCAUGCUCUUCGACGGUGUUUGCAAUCUGUGUAAUGGAGGUGUGAAGAUUGUUCGAGAUAAUGACAGGAGAAGAAAUAUUAGAUUUGAGGCUCUGCAAAGUGAAUCAGGCAAAAAGUUAUUGCAGAGAUCAGGAAGAGCUCCUGAUGAUAUUUCAAGUGUUGUUCUUGUUGAAAAAGAUAGGUCUUAUAUAAAAUCGGAAGCUGUAUUAAAGAUCAUGGAAUACAUUGAUUUGCCCUUUCCUCAGCUGGCCUUGUUUCUCCAAUUUGUACCAUUAUUCGUGCGGGAUUUCGUGUAUGAUAACAUUGCAGAUAAUCGAUACAAUAUUUUCGGUCGCUCAGAGUCUUGCGACAUAUAGAAAUUGUUCUUCUGCACUCUUUUCUUGAAGAGAAGCAAGUGGAGAGUAUAUAAUAUUAUCCUAUGCCGAAUUUUCACUUGAGUAGGCAACCCAAUGCCGGCAUCAAUCCACGAGCUUUUCCAUGAGCAUUGGAGCAGAAGGACCUUGUUGUUUGAUUAGAACCUGCCGAUUUUAUGUCCACAUCGUCCACAUUGAUGUUAGUGCAAUGUACCGUCUUGCUGCAGUUGAAGAUAAACAACGGAUGAUCAGUACACAACAUAUAUCGUGAUUUCAGUCCAGACAUUCAUUACUUACUUUUUCAGUGCAUAUCUUGUGAGGGCAGUAAUUCUGGUUGAUGAUAACGGGGUUUUUAGCCUCUAUAAAGAUUAUCUGGGAGAAAUUGAUGUUCCUGGCGAAUCCAGAUCCUCCCUACAGAAGAAAUCACACCACAGGUUCGUUUUUCGUACUUUUAGAAACUCGUUAAUUAGUUGUCUCGGUUUUGAAGUUGUUACCUGCCAUGUUUUGAUCCUCACUCCAUUGUUAGUUCUGUUAAAAGUGCAAUUGCGUAUGUUUAUUGCUUCUACUUCUUCGCGCUUCCCAUCCUUCCCUAAACUCCCGAUACUGCCAAAGACACGAAAACGAUCCAUAUUGUCUCGUUUUGAUAAAAUUUUGUGAAAGAACAUUAUAUUGCGAGCGAGAGCGAGGGAGAGAGAGACCUUAUUCCAUGUCCAGGGCCACAGAAUAUGUUGGAUAUGUUGACUUGUGAAGUACCACCAUUAAUGGCUAUGCAGUCAUCCCCUAACCAACACGAACAACGCGCGAUCCCAGCCAGUUAGAACACAUAUAUACGACUGCUUGACAGAUAGAAAGUGUAAGGCAAUGAGUACCAGUUUCCAUGGAAGAGUUAACAAUGCGAAGACCGAUUGAAUUACUGAUGUCAAUUCCAUCCGUGUUAGGGCUCUCCGAAGGGGCGAUCAUGACUAGUCUGUUGCAGUGAGAAAACCGCAUCGCCUUGGAAACGAACACCGAAGAAAUAAGGUUUGCAUUCAUGUUGAAAUAAGUAUUAUACUACUGUCUAUAUAUACGGGAUGAAAUACUUACAGUCGGUCGUGAUAUCGAAUCGCCCUGCAACGCAUAAUAAAAGCAGAAAGUUGGUUAUCUGAUGAUGACUAAUGGUGGAAGCUAAUUAAGUAAGAGUGGUUUUAGAGGUCUCACAUUCUUCCACCACGUCUCUCCACGGCCAUCGAUCACUCCUUGGCGCUCCCCUACCACAGUGAGCCCGUCGACUCUGUGAAAAUAGAGCCAUUCGUUCGAGCCUUUCUUCUGCCAUGCUGAUCUUGGUGGAGCCACAAUGUUUCCUAGUAUCUGUGUUGAAGAAAAAAUGAAAUAUUUCCAAUUGUGUGAUUUUUUGAUUAAAUGGAUUUGUGUAGUUAUUGCAAAGGGAUGUGUUACCUCAAAUGUGAUUGAGGUGGAAGAGCAUGGCCCUUGAAAUUGGAUUUCAGAAACCAAAUAUGUCUUCCCACUGCCUACUGAUAUCUUUGCAUUUUCUCUUGUUUUA